CUCUGGCUGCAGCAUCACCUGACACGGGGUUCCUGUCUGAUACUGUAUCUAACUCAGCAAUCACUGCACAACUUACCGUCUUGCUACAUACAUUUUGGUGGCGGACCGUGGUCCGCGCCCGGGCUGAGUUCUGUGUCAGCAUCUGAAUGUCCUUCUGGCUCGCAUUCUUCUAGCCGGCUGAGAGGUUGUCAGGAUCCUGGGUCAAGAGUGGUCCAGCAGGGACAGGUCCAUGGUGAGACUGGCUGUACUGCAUCUGGAGCAUCCUUCUGGUGGCAUCAAGGGAGACGCUCGUCCCAGGUGCGCCUCCAAAAGAAAAGAAAAAAAAAAUAACAAAGAAAGAAGCUUUGGGAAGAGACAGAGGAGUCAACGGCAGUAAGGGUUGCUGCGGGCAUUUGGACGUGACGUGGAGAUCGAGGCUUCUCUCUCCUUUGUGGAGGAAAGGAGGCUUUGGGGAGCAGAGAGGGAGAGUUGAGCUGGAUCUGGACACGGUUUCACAUCCCGGGAACUGUCGGCGUUUUGGACCAGAUCAUUCUGAGCCAUGGGGACUGUCCUGCGUUGUGGGGUGUGGAGCAGAUCCUUGGCCCCUGGUCACUAGAUGACAAGGAUGGCAGCCGCCUCUCUCCAGGCCGUAUCAAUAAAGGUGCCUCCAGGAGUUCCCUGGUGGCCUAG
rnacentral:lncRNA from 1 species